UGGGGAAUAUUGCACAAUGGGCGCAAGCCUGAUGCAGCCAUGCCGCGUGUGUGAAGAAGGCCUUCGGGUUGUAAAGCACUUUCAGCGGGGAGGAAGGCGUUAAGGUUAAUAACCUUGGCGAUUGACGUUACCCGCAGAAGAAGCACCGGCUAACUCCGUGCCAGCAGCCGCGGUAAUACGGAGGGUGCAAGCGUUAAUCGGAAUUACUGGGCGUAAAGCGCACGCAGGCGGUCUGUCAAGUCGGAUGUGAAAUCCCCGGGCUCAACCUGGGAACUGCAUUCGAGACUGGCAGGCUAGAGUCUUGUAGAGGGGGGUAGAAUUCCAGGUGUAGCGGUGAAAUGCGUAGAGAUCUGGGGGAAUACCGGUGGCGAAGGCGGCCCCCUGGACAAAGACUGACGCUCAGGUGCGAAAGCGUGGGGAGCAAACAGG
rnacentral:rRNA from 1 species